UUUCUAUCCUUCUCUUUGCUCGAAAAUUCUGGGCGCUGCCGUGCUAGGGUUUGAGCGAUAUUCAAUCUACAACCUGCUGUAAAUGGGCAAUGAGCAUCGCCAUAAGUGACUUUUGAAAAAAAACAAAGAGUAUUACAUUGAUUUUGGGCAGAUUGAAACACAUCUUUGGCGUGCAAACUACCUGGUAAGUUGCGAAAACUAAAAUUUCGACCUCUAUUUGGAGUGAAAGAUGUUAAGGUUAACUGAUUUUAUACAUAUUUUUCUGUAAUAUUUCCACUGUGCUGGGUGUGAUUCUAAGUGUUGGGUGUCGCUACGUGAGCCUCUCCUCUUUGGAUCCCUUUCUUUCGAAUCUCUGGAAAACAAAAAGAAAACCCAGAUACCAGAAGGAAGGCGGAUGCAGACAAGGACAAAGCAACAAGACAAAGGCAACAUCAAGGCUACUUCAACCCUACUAGUCAUUCAGGGAAUGACUGGUUCCACUCUCAACAUGCUCUUUUUUUUUUUAUACUCAUGUAUGCAUGCCUAUGUAUUCUUUCCUGCACCAGAUGCAUAUAGCUAGUCUCACGGCUCUUUGUGUGAGACGCAUGCUUGAAUAUCAAUAAAAUACUUCCUUUUU